rnacentral:rRNA from 1 species
GGGUUGUGAGGUUAAGCGACUAAGCGUACACGGUGGAUGCCCUGGCAGUCAGAGGCGAUGAAGGACGUGCUAAUCUGCGAUAAGCGUCGGUGAGGUGAUAUGAACCGUUAUAACCGGCGAUUUCCGAAUGGGGAAACCCAGUGUGUUUCGACACACUAUCAUUAACUGAAUCCAUAGGUUAAUGAGGCGAACCGGGGGAACUGAAACAUCUAAGUACCCCGAGGAAAAGAAAUCAACCGAGAUUCCCCCAGUAGCGGCGAGCGAACGGGGAGGAGCCCAGAGCCUGAAUCAGUGUGUGUGUUAGUGGAAGCGUCUGGAAAGGCGCGCGAUACAGGGUGACAGCCCCGUACACAAAAAUGCACAUAUUGUGAGCUCGAUGAGUAGGGCGGGACACGUGGUAUCCUGUCUGAAUAUGGGGGGACCAUCCUCCAAGGCUAAAUACUCCUGACUGACCGAUAGUGAACCAGUACCGUGAGGGAAAGGCGAAAAGAACCCCGGCGAGGGGAGUGAAAAAGAACCUGAAACCGUGUACGUACAAGCAGUGGGAGCCUCUUAAUGGGGUGACUGCGUACCUUUUGUAUAAUGGGUCAGCGACUUAUAUUCUGUAGCAAGGUUAACCGAAUAGGGGAGCCGAAGGGAAACCGAGUCUUAACUGGGCGUUAAGUUGCAGGGUAUAGACCCGAAACCCGGUGAUCUAGCCAUGGGCAGGUUGAAGGUUGGGUAACACUAACUGGAGGACCGAACCGACUAAUGUUGAAAAAUUAGCGGAUGACUUGUGGCUGGGGGUGAAAGGCCAAUCAAACCGGGAGAUAGCUGGUUCUCCCCGAAAGCUAUUUAGGUAGCGCCUCGUGAAUUCAUCUCCGGGGGUAGAGCACUGUUUCGGCAAGGGGGUCAUCCCGACUUACCAACCCGAUGCAAACUGCGAAUACCGGAGAAUGUUAUCACGGGAGACACACGGCGGGUGCUAACGUCCGUCGUGAAGAGGGAAACAACCCAGACCGCCAGCUAAGGUCCCAAAGUCAUGGUUAAGUGGGAAACGAUGUGGGAAGGCCCAGACAGCCAGGAUGUUGGCUUAGAAGCAGCCAUCAUUUAAAGAAAGCGUAAUAGCUCACUGGUCGAGUCGGCCUGCGCGGAAGAUGUAACGGGGCUAAACCAUGCACCGAAGCUGCGGCAGCGACGCUUAUGCGUUGUUGGGUAGGGGAGCGUUCUGUAAGCCUGUGAAGGUGUGCUGUGAGGCAUGCUGGAGGUAUCAGAAGUGCGAAUGCUGACAUAAGUAACGAUAAAGCGGGUGAAAAGCCCGCUCGCCGGAAGACCAAGGGUUCCUGUCCAACGUUAAUCGGGGCAGGGUGAGUCGACCCCUAAGGCGAGGCCGAAAGGCGUAGUCGAUGGGAAACAGGUUAAUAUUCCUGUACUUGGUGUUACUGCGAAGGGGGGACGGAGAAGGCUAUGUUGGCCGGGCGACGGUUGUCCCGGUUUAAGCGUGUAGGCUGGUUUUCCAGGCAAAUCCGGAAAACCAAGGCUGAGGCGUGAUGACGAGGCACUACGGUGCUGAAGCAACAAAUGCCCUGCUUCCAGGAAAAGCCUCUAAGCAUCAGGUAACAUCAAAUCGUACCCCAAACCGACACAGGUGGUCAGGUAGAGAAUACCAAGGCGCUUGAGAGAACUCGGGUGAAGGAACUAGGCAAAAUGGUGCCGUAACUUCGGGAGAAGGCACGCUGAUAUGUAGGUGAAGCGACUUGCUCGUGGAGCUGAAAUCAGUCGAAGAUACCAGCUGGCUGCAACUGUUUAUUAAAAACACAGCACUGUGCAAACACGAAAGUGGACGUAUACGGUGUGACGCCUGCCCGGUGCCGGAAGGUUAAUUGAUGGGGUUAGCGGUAACGCGAAGCUCUUGAUCGAAGCCCCGGUAAACGGCGGCCGUAACUAUAACGGUCCUAAGGUAGCGAAAUUCCUUGUCGGGUAAGUUCCGACCUGCACGAAUGGCGUAAUGAUGGCCAGGCUGUCUCCACCCGAGACUCAGUGAAAUUGAACUCGCUGUGAAGAUGCAGUGUACCCGCGGCAAGACGGAAAGACCCCGUGAACCUUUACUAUAGCUUGACACUGAACAUUGAGCCUUGAUGUGUAGGAUAGGUGGGAGGCUUUGAAGUGUGGACGCCAGUCUGCAUGGAGCCGACCUUGAAAUACCACCCUUUAAUGUUUGAUGUUCUAACGUUGGCCCGUAAUCCGGGUUGCGGACAGUGUCUGGUGGGUAGUUUGACUGGGGCGGUCUCCUCCUAAAGAGUAACGGAGGAGCACGAAGGUUGGCUAAUCCUGGUCGGACAUCAGGAGGUUAGUGCAAUGGCAUAAGCCAGCUUGACUGCGAGCGUGACGGCGCGAGCAGGUGCGAAAGCAGGUCAUAGUGAUCCGGUGGUUCUGAAUGGAAGGGCCAUCGCUCAACGGAUAAAAGGUACUCCGGGGAUAACAGGCUGAUACCGCCCAAGAGUUCAUAUCGACGGCGGUGUUUGGCACCUCGAUGUCGGCUCAUCACAUCCUGGGGCUGAAGUAGGUCCCAAGGGUAUGGCUGUUCGCCAUUUAAAGUGGUACGCGAGCUGGGUUUAGAACGUCGUGAGACAGUUCGGUCCCUAUCUGCCGUGGGCGCUGGAGAACUGAGGGGGGCUGCUCCUAGUACGAGAGGACCGGAGUGGACGCAUCACUGGUGUUCGGGUUGUCAUGCCAAUGGCACUGCCCGGUAGCUAAAUGCGGAAGAGAUAAGUGCUGAAAGCAUCUAAGCACGAAACUUGCCCCGAGAUGAGUUCUCCCUGAGACUUAGAGUCUCCUGAAGGAACGUUGAAGACGACGACGUUGAUAGGCCGGGUGUGUAAGCGCAGCGAUGCGUUGAGCUAACCGGUACUAAUGAACCGUGAGGCUUAACCUUACAACGCCGAAG